UAAAAAUCGUCCCUUCGCUAUAUCAAAAAGGAGUAAUGACUGUGCAAAUUUGAGAGGCUGGUUGAUUAUAGAUGAGGUUCCGCCAACUUGUUCGUUUGGUUACAAAGAUCAUUCUCCUUCAAUUCGUUAUUCUGAUAAAAAAAUGAAAGUCGUAUGGAACGACGGUGAGUGAUGUUUUCUCUUUUGUGUGUGUGUGUGUGUGUGUGAGUGUGCGUGUGUAUAUGUGUGUGUAUGUGCGUGUUUAUGUGUGUGAGCCUUCAUUCAAAUGAAUUAUUAUUUAAAGCGUUCCGACCAUGACCUUCUUGUAUGUUUCCCACUCAACGAUGUAAAGAUUCGGCUGCUAUUUCUAGUAAUUCGAGUGACCACGUAUGAAGACUUUCCACGAUUUAUUUCCAUUCCUUUGGUUAUUGAUGUUGUUAUUGUUACUUCCAGGUUAUACAUUAGCAGACUCCAUGGCCGUAUUCAUCCGCCUGAGGCAGUAGAAUUUAUCCAGCACAUGAUACUAUUGUUGUUGUUAACGUCCAUCCAAUCCUGCUGACCACCACUAGUGAUCCCAGUAGGUCAAGUAUUACCUGUUAAUAAAGAAUCCAUAUAAAUAUUCAAAGUUGUUAACCUCCAUCCAAUCCUGCU
rnacentral:lncRNA from 1 species